AUACGUAGGUGGCAAGCGUUGUCCGGAUUUACUGGGCGUAAGGGAUGCGUAGGCGGAUAUUUAAGUGAGAUGUGAAAUUCCCGGGCUUAACUUGGGGGCUGCAUUUCAAACUGGGUAUCUAGAGUGCAGGAGAGGAGAAUGGAAUUCCUAGUGUAGCGGUGAAAUGCGUAGAGAUUAGGAAGAACACCAGUGGCGAAGGCGAUUCUCUGGACUGUAACUGACGCUGAGGCAUGAAAGCGUGGGUAGCAAACAGGAGUAGAUACCCUGGUAGUCCACGCCGUAAACGAUGAGUACUAGGUGUAGGAGGGUCCAACCUUCUGUGCCGCAGUUAACACGAUAAGUACUCCGCCUGGGAAGUACGAUCGCAAGAUUAAA
rnacentral:rRNA from 1 species